GGUUAAGCGACUAAGCGUACACGGUGGACCCCGGCAGUCAGAGGCGAUGAAGGGCGUGCUAUCUGCGAUAAGCGCCGGUAAGGUGAUAUGAACCGUUAUAACCGGCGAUACCCGAAUGGGGAAACCCAGUGUGAUUCGUCACACUAUCAUUAACUGAAUCCAUAGGUUACCGAGGCGAACCGGGGAACUGAAACAUCUAAGUACCCUCUGAGGAAAAGAAAUCAACCGAGAUCCCCCAGUAGCGGCGAGCGAACGGGAGGAGCCCAGAGCCUGAAUCAGCAUGUGUGUUAGUGAAGCGUCUGAAAGCGCGCGCGAUACAGGGCGACAGCCCCGUACACAAAAGCGCAUGUGCUGUGAGCUCGAUGAGUAGGGCGGGACACGGUAUCCUUGUCUGAAUAUAAAUCCAUCCUCCGUUGCCAAAUACCCUGACUGACCGAUAGUGAACCAGUACCGUGAGGGAAAGGCGAAAAGAACCCGGCGAGGGAGUGAAAGAACCUGAAACCGUGUACGUAUUAAAGCAGGGUCUCCACCAAUUAAAAGCGUUUCGCUUUGUGUGGUGCACAAAGAAGCGUAACGACAGCAUUCGAAUGACGGUUAACGGAGCGCAAGCGACGUUCAACAUACAAAGUCAAGCAGUGGGAGCGCUUUUGGGGUGGGGUGACUGCGUACCUUUUGUAUAAUGGGUCAGCGACUUAUAUUCUGUAGCAGCAAGGUUAACCGAAUAGGAGCCGGAGGGAAACCGAGUCUUAAUUGGGCGUUAAGCUGCAGGAGCAGACCGAAAACCCGGUGAUUCAGCCAUGGGCAGGUUGAAGGUUGGGUAACACUAACUGAGGACCGAACCGACUAAUGUUGAAAAAUUACGGGAUGACCUGUGGCUGGGGUGAAAGGCCAAUCAAACCGGGAGAUAGCUGGCUCUCCCGAAAGCUUAGGUAGCGCCCCUCGUAUCCUCGGGGUAGCAUAAUUGUUUCGGCUAGGGCCAUCCCGGCUUACCAACCCGAUGCAAACUGCGAAUACCGGAGAAUGUUAUCACGGGAGACACACGGCGGGUGCUAACGUCCGUCGUGAAGAGGGAAACAACCCGCGACCGCCAGCUGCGUCCCAAAGUCAUGGUUAAGGGAAAACGAGGGAAGGCCCAGACAGCCGUGAUGCUGGCUUGCAGCUGUUUCAUCAUUUCAAAGAAAGCGUAUACCACGGUCGAGUCGGCCCGCGUGGAAGAGCGUAACGGGGCUAAACCAUGCACCGAAGCUGCGGCAGCGACGCUUGCGUUGUUGCAGGGGAGCGUCGUAAGCUUCCGUGAAGGUGGCCGAGGGUUGCUGGAGGUAUCAGAAGUGCGAAUGCUGACAUAAGUAACGAUAGCGGGUGAAAGCCCGCUCGCCGGAAAUAAUCAAGGGCCUCUGGGUCCAACGUUAAUCGGGGCAGGGUGAGUCGACCCUGGGCGCGAGCCGAAGGCGUAGUCGAUGGGAAACGGUUAAUAUCUCCCGUACUUGGUGUUACUGCGAAGGGGAUGGAGAAGGCUAUGUUGGCCGGGCGACGGCUGUCCCGGUUUAAGCGUAGGUGUGUGUUCCGUGCAAAUCCGGUUCACUUUAACACUGAGGCGUGACGACGAGGCACUACGGUGCUGUAAGCAACAAAUGCCCUGCUUCAAAGAAAGUUUUCCCUAAGCAUCAGGUAACAUCAACAAAAUUCCCCAAACCGACACAGGUGGUCAGGUAGAGAAUACCAAGGCGCUUGAGAACUCGGGUGAAGGAACUAGGCAAAAUGGUGCCGUAACUGGGAGAAGGCACGCUGACACGUAGGUGAAGUGAUUUACCAUGGAGCUGAAGUCAGUCGAAGAUACCAGCUGGCUGCAACCGUUGUUAAAACACAGCACUGUGCAAACACGAAAGUGGACGUAUACGGUGUGACGCCUGCCCGGUGCCGGAAGGUUACCUGAUGGGGUCAGCGCAAGCGAAGCUCCUGAUCGAAGGCCCCGGUAAAACGGCGGCCGUAACUAGUAACGGUCCUAAGGUAGCGAAAUUCCUGUCGGGUAAGUUCCGACCCGCAAUGAAUGGCGUAAUGAUGGCCGUGCUGUUCCACCCGAGACUCAGUGAAAUUGAACUCGCUGUGAAGAUGCAGUGUACCCGCGGCAAGACGGAAAGACCCCGUGAACCUUGCUACUAUAGCUUGACACUGAACAUUGAGCCUUGAUGUGUAGGAUAGGUGGGAGGCUUUGAAGCGUGGACGCCAGUCUGCGUGGAGCCGACCUUGAAAUACCACCCCUUUAAUGUUUGAUGUUCUAACGUGACCCGUAAUCCGCUGCGACAGUGCCUGGUGGGUAGUUUGACUGGGGCGGCCUCCCAAAGAGUAACGGAGGAGCACGAAGGUUGGCUAAUCCUGGUCGGACAUCGAAGUAGCGCAAUGGCAUAAGCCAGCUUUUGACUGCGAGCGUGACGGCGCGAGCAGGUGCGAAAGCAGGUCAUAGUGAUCCGGUGGUUCUGAAAUGGAAGGGCCAUCGCUCAACGGAUAAAAGGUACUCCGGGGAUAAUAGGCUGAUACCGCCCAAGAAGUUCAUAUAUCGACGGCGGUGUUUGGCACCUCGAUGUCGGCUCAUCACAUCCUGGGCCAGCGAGGGUCAAGGGUAUGGCUGUUCGCCAUUUAAAGUGGUACGCUGGGUUUAGAACGUCGUGAGACAGUUCGGUCCCUAUUCGCCGUGGGCGCUGAGAACUGAGGGGGGCUGUUCCUAGUCGAGAGGACCGACCGAGUGGACGCAUCACUGGUGUUCGCUGUCAUGCCAAUGGCACUGCCCGGUAGCUAAAUGCGGAAGAGAUAAGUGCUGAAAGCAUCAAGCACGAAACUUGCCCCGAGAUGAGUUCUCCUGAGACUUAGAGUCUCCUGAAGGAAAUGCUGACGACGACGUUGAUAGGCCGGGUGUGUAAGCGCAGCGAUGCGUUGAGCCACCGGUACUAAUGAACCGUGAGGUUUAACCUU
rnacentral:rRNA from 1 species